CAAGCUAUUUCCUAACUUACAUAAAGAUUUUAAAAGGUUUAAAAGCAACCUAGUAAAAUUAAGAAACAGAAACCUCUAUAGUGGCAAAUAUUAAUAACAAUUAUUGCUUUCUGUAUUUAUGAAGAAAUGUUUUUAAUUAACAGUACUACGUCACCGAGGAAGUGAUGCAUUUAAACUGCAGGAGAACACUCUGAACGUGGAGGUAGAAUAACUGUCAGCUUGCUACCGCAGCUUGGGCUGCCCUGCUUGCCUCUCUGCUGUUCCUACCAGGGUUCUGGUGAUGGACCCCAUGGGACUCCUAACAACAGAAAGUGGCACAGAAGCAAUGGACUCCCAACAACUUCACCACCAGUACUGCUAUGAGCAGAAAUGCAACCUACUAGCCACGUGAGAGAAAAGAGGCAACAAAGAAGCUCUAGCAGGUGACAUGUUACAGUACUAAAGAGGCAAACAGCAGAAGUUGUUAGCACCUACAAAGUCCAGUUUCCUACCAGGGAGAAUGGAGCUCCAGCUCUAGAUGAGCCUAUACCUCUUCAGAUGCUGAACUACUCAGAAGCAGGUAGACAUCAUUACUAAGACACAUCUACACCUGACCCUGCUUGGACUUGGGAAUUGCUGGGGAGCAGGUACAUUUGUAUAUGCCAAAGAAAUCAUGGAGAGCUCGGGAGGUGAGACCCAUAGCAAUCCACCAGCUCUGCAGCCCCUAUGCAAGUACCCUGCAGGUAAGCCUUCCUCCUGCCAGGCCUUCAAGCCAAACAGGAACUUAGUGUUUCUCUAUCUGCUGCUCCUAAAACAAAUACAAG
rnacentral:lncRNA from 1 species